rnacentral:rRNA from 1 species
AGUCGAGGGCGCCCUUCUGAGGGGUGAGACGCGGGCGGACGGGUGAGUAACGCGUGGGGACGUGCCCUUUGCUGCGGAAUAGCCACUGGAAACGUGAGUGAGUAAUACCGCAUGAGCCCUUCGGGGGAAAGAUUUAUCGGCAAAGGAUCGGCCCGCGUUGGAUUAGGUUGAAGUUGGUGGGGUAAUGGCCUACCAAGCCGACGAUCCAUGGAGCUGGUUUUAGAGGAUGAUCAGCCUGACACUGGGUGAACUGAGACACGUGAGCCCAGACUCCUACGGGAGGCAGCAGUGGGGAAUCUUAGACAAUGGGCGCAAGCCUGUGAAUCUAGCCAUGCCGCGUGAGUGACGAAGGCCCUAGGGUCGUAAAGCUCUUUCGCCUGUGAUGAUAAUGACAUGAGUCCAGCAGGUAAAGAAACCCCGGCUAACUCCGUGCCAGCAGCCGCGGUAAUACGGAGGGGGUUAGCGUUGUUUGACGGAAUUACUGGGCCGGUAAAGCGCGCGUAGGCGGAUUGGAAAGUGUUGGGGGUGAAAUCCCGGGGCUCAACCCCUGAGGAACUGCCUCCAAAACUUCCAGUCUGGAGUUCGAGAGAGGUGAGUAAGGAAUUGAGUGUAGAGGUGAAAUUGAUCGUAGAUAUUCGGAGGAACACCAGUGGCGAAGGCGGCUCACGCUCGAUACUGACGCAGGUGCGAAAUGAGUGUGGGGAGCAAACGGGAUUAGAUACCCUGGUAGUCCACACCGUAAACGAUGAAUGCCAGUCGUCGGCAAUGAGCAUGCUUGUCGGUGACACACCUAACGGAUUAAGCAUUCCGCCUGGGGAGUACGGCCAAGGUUACAACUUGACAAAUGAAUU